rnacentral:tRNA from 2 species
UGGGGCGUCGCCAAGCCGGUAAGGCACGAGACUUUGGAUCUCGCAUGCGUUGGUUCGAGUCCAGCCGCCCCAGCCA